UCUUACAAAAUGGUACAAGGUAAUAUUACUAUGUUGUCCAAUUAAUUUCAACAAUUCAAUCUUGGCACAUAAAAGCUAACCAUUUAUGUUCAUAUGAGAACAAGCUAUCAUGUUAUUAGAUCGCCAAUCAUCACAUUGAUUGCCGUGGAACCAAACGGUGAGAAAAAUUAUUGCUAGAAAUCUCUGUACUGGUUGCUGAGAUGCCAGGAUACAAUGUGUAAAAUGUGGCACUAGCAUAUAUCCAAGAUGCAAUGGAGCUGCCAUCUCAUCGACCCCGAUUCUAAGUUCAAAGUUUCAACCAAGCCCCACACACCAGAAAUGUCCAUGGUUUACUGAUUCCCAUAAUAAAAGAUCAUUACUCCAGCUUCCUGCAGGUAGUGGAGCAGAGAAUUUGAGAGGAGGUGGCGGUGGUCCAAAGUUAUUCUUCUGACUGCGGAGAGAAAAAAGAAAGAAAGGUCAUUCCUCUGCGUCAUUAUUUCUCUGAAUCAUACGGCCACAACUCUGACCUGAAAAUACCGAGCUUAGCUUCAUCUUCUCAUAUGGUGGAGGGGAAAAGACCUUACCUUCCUUCUAAACUGAGAGACGAACAACUUCAUUAGAAUUAGAAGCUGAGAAAUAUGGAGUGUGGGGAUUUCAAUUGAACAUAAACCCAGUCGGAUAUCGUAAUAAGUAUACUCGAAAUACCCAC
rnacentral:lncRNA from 1 species